rnacentral:sRNA from 1 species
CGCAGGAUGUCCACUUUUGCCCCUCUUCGCCCCUCAGGAGAUGGCCCAUCGAUCGGUGGCCCAGUAUCGGUAUGCUCGUCUGCCUCCGGGUUAUCGUUCCCCCCAAUCCAACCUCCUCGGUCCGAAACUAUAAUCUCAAUGUAACUACACUGGUUCAUCGAAUGCUGGCACCCCUCUCUUCUCCCGGCUGUUGACAUGAAUAAAUCAAACAUCGAGAACCAAGGGGGGAAAGAAAAAGGAAAGGAAGAAAAAGAAAAUACACAAACAGGGUUUCUUUUCCUGCAAGGUAGAGGGUACCGACUACCUAGCCUCUAGGUCGGUAUUUUUCAUUUUCCCUCCUUCAAAAAAAUACUUGUGAAGGAGGGGCCACAGAGAGAGAGAGAGAGAGAGAGAGAGAGAGGCACACCAGCAAGAGGACGCGUCCAAAUCCACGAUGGCCCUGUAACUUUCAGUUGCCAACCUGUAGGAAUCCUUUUAUUUUUAUUUUUAUUUUUAUUUUUUAAUUUAAUUUCUCAAGGCAGAAAGACCUAGCACUGCGUAUUGGGGGAAAACAUAAAAACAAAAAAAGAGUGGACCGGGACUAAAAUCUCCCAGCAACCAGCCGGCUGGGCUGGGGGAGCCACGGAAUUCAACAAGGCUCAACAACCACCGCCCGGGACCCCCCGGCGAGGGGCCGGUGAAAGCCUUCUACUAAAUCAACGAUACCUGCCAAAAAGGGGUGGCGGGGUAUAAGGUAUCCUUAAGGUACGGUAACUCCCGCGUAUGCUGGGCGACGUGCCUGUCUUGGGAGAACCUCACGGAAU